rnacentral:rRNA from 1 species
GAUGAACGCUGGCGGCGUGCCUAAUACAUGCAAGUCGAGCGAACAGACGAGGAUCUUGCUCCUCUCACGUUAGCGGCGGACGGGUGAGUAACACGUGGAUACCCUCCCUAUAUGACUGGGAUAACUUCGGAAAACCGGAUCUUAUACCGGAUAAUAUAUUGAACCGCGUGGGUCAUUGGUGAAAGACGGCUUUUCUGGCAGUUAUAGCUGGAUACCCGCCGCAUUAGCUGGUUGGUACGGUCACGGCUUAUCAAGGCGACGAGGCGUAGCCGACCGGGUAGAGUGGUCGGCCACACUGGAGCUGGACCACGGUCCAGACUACUGCGGGAGGCAGCAGUAGGGAAUCUGCCGCAGUGGGCGAGAGCAUGACGGAGCGACGCCGCGUGAGUGGUGAAAGUCUUCGGAUCGUAAAACUCUGUUAUGAGGGAAAAACAAAUGUGUAAGUAACUAUGCACGUCUUGACGGUACCUAAUCAGAAAGCCACGGCUAACUACGUG